GGGUGCUCUUGAUGACAAGUGAUGCCCCCUGGGUUGCAGGUCACCACUGGAACAUCUGUGAGACUUUCAGCAAGAAACUAAAUGAGAAAAGGAGCAACAGCUUUCCUUGCUUAGGACACUCAGACAGGAGAUGAAAAGGUCCUUGUGAGACUGGAUAUUUAUCUUUCACUGGCACAUAAAACUGCAGAAGAAAAACUGAAUGUAAAUGCCAAAAAUGAGAGAAGACAGUGGUCAAGCUGCUGUAACUGUAUGUACUUCUACCAGUAAGGGCACUGAAGUGACAACAUUCGUCCCCAGUAUGCAGGCAUAAAAUGUCAUCUGGAAAAACAAAUAAAGGCUCCUGGAGGAGUAAUCAUGCUGGUAUUUGGUGGAGGUGGGUUAUGCCAUCAGUACAAACAGCACACCCUGAACAGGGAAUCUGACUGUUUCCAAGGAAUUCUUCCAGUCCCCUG
rnacentral:lncRNA from 1 species